rnacentral:snRNA from 1 species
AUCGCUUCUCGGCCUUUUGGCUAAGAUCAAGUGUAGUUUAUACAUAAGUUUUACCAUUACUCAAACUAUCUAUCAUUCUUAGUCUUCAUCUUCACUGUGCUGGCGGAGUGUGAAAAGUAAUUUUUCUUAAUCUUCACACUUCAGAAAACUAUUU